GGAGGGUGCAAGCGUUAAUCGGAAUUACUGGGCGUAAAGCGUGCGUAGGUGGUUCGUUAAGUCCGUUGUGAAAGCCCCGAGCUCAACUUGGGAAUUGCAGUGGAUACUGGCGAGCUGGAGUGCAGUAGAGGAAGGUGGAAUUCCCGGUGUAGCGGUGAAAUGCGUAGAGAUCGGGAGGAACACCAGUGGCGAAGGCGGCCUUCUGGACCAGCACUGACACUCAAGCACGAAAGCGUGGGGAGCAAACAGGAUUAGAUACCCUGGUAGUCCACGCCCUAAACGAUGCGAACUGGAUGUUGGGCACACUACGGUGCUCAGUGUCGAAGCUAACGCGUUAAGUUCGCCGCCUGGGGAGUACGGUCGCAAGACUG
rnacentral:rRNA from 1 species